GCUCCACGCCUCCUGGGCGCAGAGGCGACGCUGGCAGCCGUCUCUUAGGAGAUUUCUCCGCAGUGUGGACGGGGGUCAGGAUUUGCAGGCGAGCAAGGGCAGAGAGGAGAAAUCGUACAGGUCGGUGACGCGCCUAAUUCACAAAGCCUGAAAGUGCUGUCAACUUUGGGGUCAUCUUAUGCUGGGCACCGCCUCUCCAAUUAUCUGCAAAAAGUGAUAGCAGUCGCGCUUUUCUUUAGGAGGCGAUGUGAUGUGUAAUGGUGGAAAAGACGUUCAAUGAAAAGGCACGGAGGCCUGCAGGACAGGCUGUUGGGGUCCAGGGUUUCUUGAGUGUUGGAUUUGGAUGCUUGGGACACUGCAGGGGCUUCAGUCUUGCAGGGUGACCUUUCAUUUCAUGGGUGAUGAAAGUGAGACCCAAAACCCCGUGUCAUUUUGAAUCACUGACAGGCUUCGGCUUUUGGCCUCGGGAUGUCCAGCCCAGUGCUCCUUCCUGUCCUAUCUGGAAAGCAAGAUCCCCUUGACCACAAGAAAUAGAAUCAGGCUUGUUGGGGAUGAGAGACUAGAAUCUGGGCCAAAGAAUGGAAGACGGUGGUAAGACAAAUUGGUAGUGAGGGAACCCCUUUUACCCAACCCUGUGACCACCAGCAAAGCUGCCAAGAGGUACCCAACUCGUGAAGCUCUGAAAGCUUUUCGCACAUUUUCCCCUCUCCUUACCCUCCAUCCUUCUGUUCUCUCCCCCAUCCAAGAGGGUUUCUUCAUGCCCUCCUUACAAUGGGGGUAAUGGGUAUAUCCUGAGAGCUCAUGACCUCUGACUUAGAGUACAGCUCUGUAGUCAGACCUCUGGGCCUACUCAUCAAUAAGUAAAGGGAAGCCUAGGGAACUUAGAAAUAUUUUUCUUCCCCCCACCCCCCAAUCAAAGCCAGGCAUUCAAGACUCAACUUUUCUUUUUCUUUCUCCUUUCGAGACUGAAUCUUGCUAUGUUGCCCAAGCUUGUCUUGAAUUCCUGGGCUCUAGCCAUCCUCCAGCCUCAGACUCCCAAGUGCUUGCAGACUAUAGGUGCCUGACUGAAUUUUUUUAUCUUUAACUUUUAAUUUAGAAAAUUUCAAACAUAUACAAAUGUAAGAAAGUAGUAUAAUGAAUCUCCAUGGGGCCAUAACCAGCUUGAACAAUUAUGAACUCAUGGACAGUCAUAUUUCAUCUAUACCCCUUUUUCCUAUGUCAUCAUUUUGAAGCAAAUCCCAGAGCAUCAUAUCAUUUUAUCUGUAAAUAUUUUCAGAAAGCAAGAAAACUAUCAACUACCACUAGGGUUGUGUCAAGAAGGGGACAAUUCAAAUAGGCUGUCACUGACCAAAGACGGGCUAAUUUGAGCAUCAAAAAAAAAAAAAAAAAA
rnacentral:lncRNA from 1 species